CCAGAAGAAAGGCAAUAGAAGACUGUUGACUAUCCUUCACCUGUCACCCAAAGUACCAACAGGAAGGGAUCUGACAAAGAUUACAGGCUGUUUCCUGUUACCCAUGAGGCUUAGCAGGGACGACAGCAGUCAAGGAAGUCUCUGCCCUGGGAGCUAUACCGUGAAGAUGGACACCAGCAGCAGCAGCAGCCAUCUUUGAAUCCCCUUUAGUGAUGUGACCUCCGACCCAGCCUCAGAGAAGAUCAGUGAGAUAUGAGAACAUGACGACAUCCCAGUAACAAAGUGACACACAGUAUGAGAUCGCUGCUUGUUCUCAUGAUAUUUCGGCCGCGCUUUGGAAAGCAGAGCUAAAUGGUAAACAAACAUGGCAGCACACCGUAUAGAGCACACAUCUGUGCGAGUGUGUCACUGCAGCCUGGGGAAAGGAAUGGACCACAGCAGCAGACGAAGAUUCACACAGUGGCAGACCUCUCUGAAGUCAUCGUUUCCAACAGCAAGCAGACCACUGGUCAUUAUCACGCACAUGCAGCAUCUGUGCAAAUGUGAGUUCUCAUGAAGGCCCAUUGAGUCCUAAACACAAUUAAUCCGUUCAGAACAGCCAGCAGGACCUAAUGAUCUGUUCUUUUUGUCCAACACAGCCCAGAAUCCCUUGGAAUUACAGUCAUAUUAAAUGAAACUGCAGCGCACAAUUUAUAUUGAUUUACACAGUUUAAAGGGAGAUUCUGGUAUUGGUCAUCCUGUGCAUUAUUGCCAUGUUUUAGUCCAGCAGUUUACUGACUACCACUGUUGUAGAGUUUGGGAAAUGUGGAGUGCUGCAAAGAUUACUGUUGAUUGGAGCAAGCAGUGCAACAGAAAUAAUCUCACACCCUUAUCUUUGAGUCACACAGAGGGUAAACACAGAAACCAAUGUCCUUGAAUUCUAUGUAGCUGCAGCCCUGUAGCAAACUGCAAAUCUCUACAAAUGAGGCAAUAAUUAAAAUGUUAUCAUGACGAACAUAGACAAAAAUAUAAGAAUAACACCCGGGCUGAAAAAAAAAUGGAAGUUUUCAUUAUUGGCAGCAGAAUUUAUGUUGCAAAGAGAAAGUGAGGGUGUGCCAAAAAGUAUUACUAUUUCUUUUUGCUAACUGUAAGCAUGAGCUUCACCAAAUCUUAUAAUAACUGGUGGCACAAAAAUGUAACGUUUCAAGUUUUCUAUUACAAUGUGCACAACAAUUCCAGAGAAGCAUUUGUUGGUGAUGAAAAUUUUAAAUCUCAGGCUCUGUCCAAAAUAUAGUAUAUAUAUAGUAUAUAUAAAAAAAAAUAUGCACGUAAAAGUCAGAAUCUAAGAGAUGAAAUGGUACAAAGACAUUAGGCUAAAACUUAAACUGUAUAUGUGUGUGUGUGUCUGUGUGGGAGUGCAUCUCAAAAAAUGUUUUCUUCAAAACUCAUUAUGACUUGUAUGCAAUAAAAAUGUUGAUUUUUCCAAAA